GCUAUCAUGCAAGUCGAGCGAAUGGAUUGAGAGCUUGCUCUCAAGAAGUUAGCGGCGGACGGGUGAGUAACACGUGGGUAACCUGCCCAUAAGACUGGGAUAACUCCGGGAAACCGGGGCUAAUACCGGAUAACAUUUUGAACUGCAUGGUUCGAAAUUGAAAGGCGGCUUCGGCUGUCACUUAUGGAUGGACCCGCGUCGCAUUAGCUAGUUGGUGAGGUAACGGCUCACCAAGGCAACGAUGCGUAGCCGACCUGAGAGGGUGAUCGGCCACACUGGGACUGAGACACGGCCCAGACUCCUACGGGAGGCAGCAGUAGGGAAUCUUCCGCAAUGGACGAAAGUCUGACGGAGCAACGCCGCGUGAGUGAUGAAGGCUUUCGGGUCGUAAAACUCUGUUGUUAGGGAAGAACAAGUGCUAGUUGAAUAAGCUGGCACCUUGACGGUACCUAACCAGAAAGCCACGGCUAACUACGUGCCAGCAGCCGCGGUAAUACGUAGGUGGCAAGCGUUAUCCGGAAUUAUUGGGCGUAAAGCGCGCGCAGGUGGUUUCUUAAGUCUGAUGUGAAAGCCCACGGCUCAACCGUGGAGGGUCAUUGGAAACUGGGAGACUUGAGUGCAGAAGAGGAAAGUGGAAUUCCAUGUGUAGCGGUGAAAUGCGUAGAGAUAUGGAGGAACACCAGUGGCGAAGG
rnacentral:rRNA from 1 species